CGGGGACCGGGGCGAAGCAGACUUGAGCACUAGAGUUCAGAGGCAUCAACAGAAGGAGAGAGAGAAUUUUGCCUUGGUGUUGGUUUCAGAUGCGUCUGUGAUGAUAAUGCCGAGUGCCAGGCCAUCCAAAAGUCUGGUAUGAGAGCAAUGCACCACGCGGUGCAUGCAGGUCCUGGCGGCGAGUGAAGCCAUAAUAAAGUAAAAAGGUCUAUGCCCUACACGGAUCGAGAAUACGCGAUUGCACCGAUCGGUAUGGUAUAUAACUUGCAAUAUGAAUCAUCGUAUAUUACAGAUGAUAAUUGCACGAAUGUUCUGGUCAGGCUCUUGAGCCUGAAAUUGCACAAACGUGACCUUAUAACACAGUUGAUUUCAAUCAUUCAUGCAUAAUUAUUUUCCUGGUCGAAUAGUUACCAAAUUUUAUUGAUAACACGACAAAGACUUCCGCAAUUGUAAUCGUAUACAUGUAAAAUGUAUACUCACAUGAAGGGGCAGCAAUUCAUGAAGGUUUCGUCCAUCAGACGAGAAUAUCACCACACUGUAAUAUGAUGACGCUGAUGCAGUGCAAUGAUUUUCAAGGGGGACCUCCUCUACAUCGCUGUCUGGUACAACCAUACACAUGUAUGUACGGACUAUAUGGAUGUAGCUAUUUUAUCCUACGACAAAGCCCAGCUGGAUCGGUUUCUUGUAUCAAGUUACAAUUGCAACACGAUAGACCUUGCUACAAUAUCGCGGGCCUUCUGUAGCAGCAGCAGCAACUCUUUGAAUAUACAUAUAUAGCCGUAUAGGUGAAAGCGCAACUUAAAUACCUACGCGGGACAAUGCUCAGUAUCCGAUCUUAGAUCUGUCCCGUGUCACACGGAAGCCGGAUUUAACAUUAGAAAGCUCCGAUGCGAGAAUAUUUAUGCAUAAGUCUCCUCAUCGUCGCAAGAGAAGAAGGCAUGUUACAGAUGUGAGACGUAUAGAAGCGGAACAAUUUUGAUUCCCCCUGCGUGUAUUUACACAUAAAGAUUAUAAACAACGUCAGGUCAGGUUGCGAUGUGCAACAGGGAAGAAAGGACAGCUGAUAUUGAUUUCUUCUUCGGUGUCUCUACGCGCGCCCCUUUGCUCGCCCGUUCCUCGUACAUUUUCCAACGACCGUAUAAGCGGUUACAACGUGAGGUCUGCUCUAUCCUAUUUUCCGAACAUUUCUUUAUUCGGUUAUCGCGGUUGGAUGCUGGGAGUGUAAAAUAUCGGUUCUUGCACAAGUUUCAUAACACAAUUCUCAUAUUUUGAGAGAACGGUGUAUACAUUAAAGCGAGCAUGCGCACCUUGAUUUAGGUCACUCACCGACCGACCAACCACACAAUAUUUAUGCUCAAUCAUUUACGACCUUUGUUAUAAUGCCACUUGAUGGACCCCUAAGUGGAUUAUUCCAAUCUUUAUCAGUUGAUAUCAAAUUACCAUGAAUUAUCAGCUAAAUGUUGUACCACGAAUACGCUUGUAACCUAGGCUCGCGUUACAGGAUUCUGUCUUUGUUAUUAUUACGACGGGGGUUGAUACAUCGAACGAGGGAACCGAGCAGCCGACUGGCAGAGACCAAACGAGAAACUGACGCCCCUUCGUUCGUUUAGAGUGCUGCCACCCUACGCUAGGGGUUCGUUUAGCUCCCACACAACAUUCGCGAAGAUAGAAGCGCGGGACCAUCCUGCGUUGAAUUUAAAAAAAAAAAUGUUAUGGAAAAAUACUCCGCGAUAACCGGUGAAAUCCGCUGAUAGAUUUUAUCGAUUCACAUACACCCGACGAUCCGUCGUGAAGACAUUGAAAUUUCGUGGUCAAGUAGUAAUGUCAGAGUGCCACAUCAUACGCCCGAGGCACGAUUUAGUCAGCCUUGAAAGCAUUGAAGGUUGAUUUUGUAUCGAAUAAACGACGUCUUGCUUUAUUUAUCGUUAAUAACUAUUAAUGAAACUUGUUAUAAAAUAGACUCUGUAUCAUGCUUCAGCAACCCUUCUUGGCAUAAAAAUAGAUUAAUAAACAUUUGUUUUUACCCAAAUCAGUCUAAAAUUAUUUGUCCUACAAAUUAAGGUGAUGAAAAAUCAUUCUGAAGAAGUCGCUAGGAAGUGUCAUGCGCUUUUUCACUUUUAAAUUUAAAUGGACUCGGCGAUGCAGUUGUGAAUUGUUGUUAAAGAUAGCGCCACCGAUGCACAUUUGUCAAGCUUGCAAGUGCAACAAUCGCUGUGCGAUGGCAGCAUCGACCGCUUUAGCGUACAACAUUAACAAUUCCCAGGACUUACUUGGCAAAUGUGAAGAACAUUUGUGAGAUCUAAAAAAUUCAAAUGUAAUCACAAUUGAAUUUAUUUAUUAUCACAUUUCCGAAUUAUGUUAAAUAUUCUUUGAUUGAUUUCAAUACCCGCAAUAAAUCAUUUUCAUAUUAUUUGUGAUGGGUAUGCGUAAAUAUUUUAUUGAUUAUGAGAAGUCUUGGAGAUAAUUAUUAUCGCGGGAAUAUACUAGUCGCUCUUCUAAUUUAUCGAAAUAUUUUUUUGGAUGAUUCAAUGUGCAUUAAAUUUACACGAACUAAGUUCUCAGGAAUGUAGGUCGUCCAAUCUGGAGAUUCUCAUAAUAUUUUGCAGGAUGCAGCAGCGUACCCGCAGGGUCGAAGCACACGAUUUAAUGGGCUGCAGGGAUCUUUUGAGAUUCCCUUUAACUAUAUAUCUAUAUCAGGGCAAUUACGAAUGGAGCUCAUUCGCAUGGAAGGUUCAUUAAUCCAUCACCUAGAUCUUCUCCUCAAUCAUAAAAUUUCUCCCGCUAUAAUUAACGGAGGCAGGCGGAUAUGGAAAUUUUUCCGAAAUAUCUGACUCCCAAUAUAUCCGUUUAUUCGAUUAUUGAGAUAAAAAUCAGUCAUAUCUAUACUGAUUAUAAGGCGCCUAUGAUGUCGCGCCUAUUCUUAUCGUGCACUUCGAUUACCGUUCUCGUAGACAUCAAACUUCAACUAUUUUUACCGAAUCGAUGAGGUCGAUGAAUGGAACGAUGAAUACCGAAUAUCUUCUGAUAAUUUGUUAUUUCGAAGAAAACGAAAAACUUGGUCACCGCGCAGAUGAGAGGUUCUAGUUUACCUUCAUUUUUAUGCGCCCCGAUAACUCGUUUAUUUCACGUCAAGACUUUUUAUCUCCUGUCUCGUUACGAUUCGCGCAGCUGCAGACUUUCUAACGAAAAUAUUUAACGAUAUGAUAAAAGUCUAAAACUUGAACUCUAACAUCGUCGAAGGAUUUAUUAUUAUACUACGCGUACCUUAUUAACCCCAGACCGCGGAAAUGUAAUCUGCGAAACUUGAUCUUUUCACCCGCAUGAAAAAGAAAUUGUCCCGACUGCGACUGAAGUCAACGCUGAUUUUUUUCCCUUUCGGAUAUUGCUUCGGUAAAAAGUCUAAUCGAAAGAUUCUAUAAAGCAGAAUCCCUCGAUCGCGAGCAACUGCGGGAAUCUUGUAUACUUUAUAUAAAGCUCAAAUAGAACGAAUUUUGUGGAUGAACUUUUGGUAGUCAGGAGAUCCUAUCAUCUCUAUAGACGCGGUUGAACAGAUGCAAAGUUUUGAAAUCGUACUGUCUGGCUUCUGGGCUACCCUCGUCUAUACGUAGUUUGAAGAGUUUUUCUAGCUACCUGAUUUCGUGGUCAUGUUUUCAUCUCUCUCGUUAAAAUGGUAUAUACGCCGCAUUAACUUCAUUGAAAUGAGUAUUACUUUCAAUUUGUAUACCGUUGCUACGCGAAAUCCCACCCCGAGUUUAUCAAAUAUCCGGCAACUUGUCGUUGCUGACGCGAAACCUCUCGCAAUACGUGUUGUUUGUACGUCAGUCGUCCAAAGAAUAACGUACGUGAAGUGCGUAUGCAUCGUAAUAAGCAUCGUUAAAACGAAGCGGAAGUUGUUUUAUUCGUUAGUAUACAUUCAACCGGAACCUCGUUCUUUCGGGAAUAACCCGUUUAUUAAUUUCGUAGCUGUCGUAACUUCGUUUUCAUUUUUUAGAACCGCUGGGGCGUUGCCAUACCGAUUACAACAGCUGUUCUCGUAAGCUACUCCAAAACUUACACUCUGCAAAAUGCGAAACCUGUCACGUAAAUUACCCAGAAUUUCGGUUUCCUCGCAAUGAAUAUUCAGAAUUACGAGUGAACGAAAUUUCCCUCAAAACUUCGCAUUAUUUCGAAUCGAAUAAAUUGAGCUCAGAUCCAACAUUGCUUGGAGAAUAUAUUUUAUUUGGAAAUCGAUCCGGUCGAAUCGAGAAACAUCUAGACACAAAUUAACCGGUGUGACUUCGUAUCCAGUUGUAGUAGCUGAAUACGCGGGUGUAGCCAUCGGGAGUUCCAACAGCG